CAUCAAUGAUCAGUUGUAAAAUUCCGAUGGUGGAUGUUGAAUUAGACCAAGAUUUGUUCUUUUGAUUGAUUUCAAUACUUUAAUCUAAAUUGUUCUUUAAUUGUUUUAUUGUUUUCGUUAUACACAAACCUCCCCCCUCCGUCCUUGUUCAAGUUGCAUAAAACUAGGCUAGAUACUCUCCGUGGGAAUGAUCCUUACUCGCACUA
rnacentral:lncRNA from 1 species